AGUGAACGCUGGCGGUAGGCCUAACACAUGCAAGUCGAACGGCAGCACAGUAAGAGCUUGCUCUUACGGGUGGCGAGUGGCGGACGGGUGAGGAAUACAUCGGAAUCUACUUUUUCGUGGGGGAUAACGUAGGGAAACUUACGCUAAUACCGCAUACGACCUACGGGUGAAAGCAGGGGAUCUUCGGACCUUGCGCGAUUGAAUGAGCCGAUGUCGGAUUAGCUAGUUGGCGGGAUAAGGGCCCACCAAGGCGACGAUCCGUAGCUGGUCUGAGAGGAUGAUCAGCCACACUGGAACUGAGACACGGUCCAGACUCCUACGGGAGGCAGCAGUGGGGAAUAUUGGACAAUGGGCGCAAGCCUGAUCCAGCCAUACCGCGUGGGUGAAGAAGGCCUUCGGGUUGUAAAGCCCUUUUGUUGGGAAAGAAAAGCAGCAGGUUAAUACCCCGCUGUUCUGACGGUACCCAAAGAAUAAGCACCGGCUAACUUCGUG
rnacentral:rRNA from 1 species